rnacentral:rRNA from 1 species
GCGAGCAUGUGAAUGUGAGCAAAUCCCAAAAAUAACGUCUCAGUUCGGAUUGUAGUCUGCAACUCGACUACAUGAAGCUGGAAUCGCUAGUAAUCGCGAAUCAGAAUGUCGCGGUGAAUACGUUCCCGGGUCUUGUACACACCGCCCGUCACACCAUGGGAGUCGGAAAUGCCCGAAGUCAGUGACCUAACCGAAAGGAAGGAGCUGCCGAAGGUGGAGCCGGUAACUGGGGUGAAGUCGUAACAAGGUAUC